GGCUGCGUGCUGGCUCCCAGAAGAGGAACCUGCUGCAGGCGCCGGCGCGGGCGGCGAGGACGACCUGUUUUUCUGACCCAGCCCGGAAGCGCUGGUGCAGGUGCUACCGGAUCACCCUAACAACCCUCUGGGACCUGUGGCCAUGUGUUCACAACAGCAGCCAUUACAGGUGUUUCCUGAACUCUUGUCGCGAGCCUCUGUCGGCUCCAUCUCAUCGAUCCUCCCAGCAACCCACAAGGAAGCUUCACAGAGAGGCAGAUGCCACACAGGCCACCCACCCAGAUGCAGAGCCAGAUUCCCUGCGUGGACUGGACGGGAGUUUCCCAGCUGGAGUUCUCUCGGCCAAGCUGCCUGUGACAUGGGGUUGGAGGUGCUCCAGAGAGUCAUGGCCACCCCUGGAGGAAGUGACUUGUGGCUGACUGCUCAAGGGGAAGUCCUGUGGCAGUGGAGUCGUCAGCAUUAAUUCAAAUAAGGUGAGCAACAAGGAAUACCGAGAGGAGGUUUCCACACCAUGAACAAACAUGGCACCAGGAUCUGGAAGCUCCGGGCUUCUCCGUCUUCUAGAAUUCUGGGAGCCUCACAUGGCCCCCUCCUUGGCGAGUGUAUUAGGCUGUACUUGUAUUUCUGAAAUACAAAUAAAUACCUGAGACUGGGCAA
rnacentral:lncRNA from 1 species